rnacentral:tRNA from 1 species
GCUGGUAGUGGCUGCACUCGCCGCUGCUCGGCCGCCUUGUAAGCGGUAGGUCGUCGGUUCGAUCCCGACCUCCGGCU